rnacentral:rRNA from 1 species
GACGUAGGGCGCGAGCGUUGUCCGGAUUUAUUGGGCGUAAAGAGCUCGUAGGCGGUCUGUCGCGUCGGCUGUGAAAACUCGGGGCUCAACCCCGAGCCUGCAGUCGAUACGGGCAGACUAGAGUGCGGUAGGGGAGACUGGAAUUCCUGGUGUAGCGGUGAAAUGCGCAGAUAUCAGGAGGAACACCGGUGGCGAAGGCGGUUCUCUGGGCAUUACCUGACGCUGAGGAGCGAAAGUGUGGGGAGCGAACAGG